AAAGCUAUCAGUUCAGGCCACAGGUUACUGAAUGUGGUGAGGAAAAAGAACCUGUCAGAAGAGUAUACCUUAAACAGGAGGCCUCUUUGCAGCUGGAUUGUUGGAGGACAGACUGAGAAGGCUGCUGUUCUUAAUGCUCUGAAGAUCAGCCCACAAAUGGCAGCUAAACACCAUAACACCCAAACCAGAAAUAGGAUGGUACUUGAUGGUAUUACAACUUGAGAAAGCAGGACCUGGAAAAGAAGAGGAUAUCUAAGACAAGCAAAAUGACCCAAUAGUCUUUUGGCUGUGAUACUGUUCAUCAAAGUCCUGGUUGACUGUCAUGGGAAAAGGGAUUGCAGAACUCUGUGGCUGUGGAAGUCUGCACUGAAUUUAGAAUUCGGAAGAACUACCAGUAUUCCUACUGAGGGGAUGGGUGUUUUGAAACUUAAGGAUACUAUGGGAGGGCAGAGAGGGGAAGAAAAUAAAAACAGCAGUCUU